rnacentral:rRNA from 1 species
AACGAACGCUGGCGGCAGGCUUAACACAUGCAAGUCGAGCGCCCCGCAAGGGGAGCGGCAGCCGGGUGAGUAACGCGUGGGAACGUACCUUUUGGUUCGGAACAACUCCGGGAAACUGGAGCUAAUACCGGAUAAGCCCUAACGGGGAAAGAUUUAUCGCCGAAAGAUCGGCCCGCGUCUGAUUAGCUAGUUGGUGAGGUAACGGCUCACCAAGGCGACGAUCAGUAGCUGGUCUGAGAGGAUGAUCAGCCACACUGGGACUGAGACACGGCCCAGACUCCUACGGGAGGCAGCAGUGGGGAAUAUUGGACAAUGGGCGCAAGCCUGAUCCAGCCAUGCCGCGUGAGUGAUGAAGGCCUUAGGGUUGUAAAGCUCUUUUGUCCGGGAAGAUAAUGACUGUACCGGAAGAAUAAGCCCCGGCUAACUUCGU